AACUCAAACAUAAUUAUUAGCUUUUACCAUAGAAAUUGCCUCUUCAUGAGUCAAAAGUAAUCAAAUACUGGCAAUUUCAUAUAGUUGAACCUAAUUUAAUUUAUGUUCAUUACAACUCUGAGGCAUGGAAUGAUUUUCCUGAUGUAUUCUGAUUUAUUCUCAUCUCUUCUUUCAUUCAUUCAACAGAUAUGUAUUAAGCAUUUACUACAUGCCCAGCACCAGCUAAGGAUACAGUAUAAAAAGCAUAGCCAAGGCUGCACAACUAUUCUAAUUGUAGUAGGAUAAAAGCUACAAAAGGACAGUGUGCAAUGCAAACUAGAGGAUGAACUGGCAAAUUUGUCCCAAGAAGGAUUGACCAGAGAGCCUCAUAUGCACAACAAGGAUAAUAAGACCAGGACACUAAGGAUUUACUGGCGAGGAUGAAUCUAUGGUUAUGAAGUACUUUCCAUGGUAUCCAACAUGUCCACCACGAGAAAACCCCCAGAAAUGUUGACUUUGAACAGUACAGCGUGAGUGGUGGCCUUUAGAGUUCUGCCGUGUGGAAGGCCUGGAUUGAGGACAGGGAAAAAACAGAUAAGCUUCAUGAUUGAAAGCCUUUCCGGAAAGCUACCCUUUUCUUUACCAAAGCAUGAAGUUCAAUCAGAAAUGAGAAUGACUAAAAUUACAAGGACCGACAAUAGCAAAUG
rnacentral:lncRNA from 1 species